CCACACUAAUUAAAUUAUGAGAAUAAUAAUGGAUUCAUGAAAUAUAACAAUAUUCGGGUAGAGAACAUUUACCCCAAUGAGUUUCUUGAAAAACCCUUGAAAAAUCUCCCAAAACCGAGGUCUACAACUCCAAACUGAAUAAAUCCUCAAACCCUUCAAAAUAUAUGAUUAUGCCCAGUGAUCCCGCUUUUGCGGUCAGCAGGUCGCUUCUGUGACAUUCGCUUUUGCGGAAUUUAUCCUCUUUUGCUGAAAUGCCUUGCCUCAAAUAAAGUCGCUUCUGCGACAGUAUAUGCGCUUUUGCACUCGACAUCCCGCACCUGCGAUUGCGCAGGUGUGCCCAAAACAUCAGCUUCUGCGAUCCUCCCCUUCCAGCCUUGUUCUACAUCUGCGCCCCUUCUCCUACGCACCUAUGAUCAACGCACUUGCGCCUAGGGGUCUGCAGGUGAAACCACACCAGAACUCAGCCCAAACUAGUCUCACCCAAAAAUGCUCCAAUUUAUCUGAAGCUCGUCCGUAGCUCAUCCGAGCCCCUCGGUACCCCGUACGAAUAUACCAACAAGUCCUAUAACAUAAGACGAACUCGCUCGAGGUCUCAAAUCACAUCAAACAACGUAGAAACUAUAAAUCACACCACGAUCGAACUUAUAAAUUUCCAAAUCUUCUAACUUCUAAAACCCGCACCGAAACAUAUCGAAUCAACUUGGGAUGAUGCCAAAUUUUGUAUGCUAGUUCCAAAUGACAUAACAUAGCUAAUCCAACUCUCGGAAUCGCAUUCUGACCCCGAUAUCACCAAAGUCAACUCAUAGUUAAACCUCUCAGCCUUUCAAAACUUUAACUUUUUCAACUUCCGCCAAAAUGCAUCAAAUUACCCUACGGACCUCCAAAUCUGGACAUACGCCUAAGUCCAAAAUCACAAUACGAAGCUAUUAAAAUCAUCAAAUGGCCGUUUCGAAGUCGUCUACACAAAAGCCAAAUUCUGGUUAACUCUUUUCAUUUAAGCUUCAAAAAUAAGAAUUAUUCUUUCAAUUAAAUACUGAAUCAUCUGAAAACUAAUCUCGAUCACACACGCAAGUCAUAAUAUAUAUUACGAAAAUUCUCGAGACCUUAAGUUGCCGAACAGAGUGCUAAUUCCUAAAAUGACCGUUCGAGUCAUUACAAUCAGCAAUGAUCUUUAUGAGGGCUAGGGAUUAAACUUGGUUCUAAAGUUAUCAAGAGAGCAAAGUCUAGGGUAGUUCUGGACAGGAUAUAAAAUCAGGAAAUAAGUAAGAACAUGGAGUAGUUAAUUAGCUACUUAAACAUCUCGGGUCAGUAAUGACCUUAUGCAGACAGGGGAAACCUUACACAUUUUAAGAGUCGGAUUAAGCAAAAGUUAUAGAUAAGGGAUGUGCAUUGCAUCAGGAUAAGUUUAACUCAAAACUUAAUACUAAGUUAAUAAUACAUGGAUACAAAGAUGAUCAAUGCUUCCUUUUUUACAAGUUAUUUCUUAGUUAGGUAGAGUAACUAGGUCCUUUAAAAGAUAAAAUGCAUGCCCGUUUUUCAAAGAUGCAUGAUGAUCUUAAAGAUGAGAGAUAGGAGAUAUGAUACCAAAUAAGCAUGUUGCCGAGGGUGUUGGCUAAUUAAGAAAACAGUUAAGUUCAGUCUAACCAAUUAUCAGUCUUUAUAACAAAGAGAAAGGAACGGAAUUAUGAUCACAUUAUGAUGAAAGAUGACAUAGGUUUAACAUGUGUGUACAAUAGGAUUACUAGGAGAAGAAAGGAGAAGUUUAGUUCAAACAAGUUUAGGUUAAAUAGAAAUACAAGCAACUAAACAAAUGAAAGACCAUAAUAGCAGCUUAGAAACAGUCUAACAGACAUAAGUAGGGAGGAUAGCAUAUAAACACUUAGAGUUCCUACUCAAGAUUUAAAGGAUAGAGGACAUAAACUUAACACCUUCAGAUUCAUUCUAUCAUAAUUAUCAGAAUAUAAGUUCAACUUCAAAAACUCAUAAGUUAUAUAGAUGCACCAUGCAAGAAUAAAAGUUAUUGCAUGCCAAUAAAAGCUAUAAGGUUCAUGUGAACAUGAACAUAUAACAACUUAAACAUGUAGGCUUUCAGGAAAUAAGAUCCGCAAGAAUCAAUUAUAUAGUUUAAUCAACCAUCGUUUAAAGACUCAUACCAAGACACCUAAUCACAAGUAGUCAUUAAACCAAUAAAGCACCAAUAUUAACAUAUUAAACACCAUAGAACAACUGUAAUAUAUAGAACCUAACUUAGCAUACUUGUAUCAUUCAAAGAAACGAACAAAACAGAAGAAUGGGAGAGGUGCUGGGCUUUUGAGAGCAACAAACCAAACGAGAGCUCUUUUCAAUUGCUUAAAACCCCAGAAACCUCAAAUUUAGACCAACGAUAGUACUCAGCAAAAAGAAAAGAAAAUAAUUAAGAAACCUAAGGCUUGGAAUCCUAAACCUCUCAAUGUUUGUGUGUGUGUUUCUCUUCAGUAUUAGAUAGUUGGUUCGUGAUGUUAGGUGAUCAUUUCUUCAGUGUUAGGUUAUGGUAGAUGAGAAUAUUAAAGGCUUCUAUUUAUAGUGCCAUUAAGGCUCUAGGGUUCAGAGAAUUCAAAAUAAUAGGGGAAAGUGACGACAAAUUGAUGAUGAUAGCAAGAUUGAGUGAAUUUGAAAGAACGCAGGGAAACAUAGUGAAGAUAUUUACUUGAGAAGGGAGAUUGAAUCGUUGAAGGCAGAGGACCAUCUGUUAAACUCUAUUGUCCAGAGGUUACCGAGUAUGACCUCUGGACAUCGAAUCGUCAUGAUGAACUCUGAGAAGGAACUCCAUGCAUGCUCCGAUUUGACAAAGCAUGAAGUAACAUCAAAGAUUUGAUGUUGCGUCUUUGGGUCUAGGGUUUUCAGGAUUUAGUGGUUUGAAUUUUGUAAUUGAAAAAGGAAUUUACAGCAGGAUUCACAGACUUAAAGAGGAAAGAGGUGAUUUAAGGCUUCGAUUUGAAAGAUCAUAGCAGAACUCAGGUGAUUUGAGCUUUCAUCUUUGAGUCUAGGGUUAAGCUUUGGGGAUUUCGAAUUUGUGUGAUGAAAUGGGGAUAAAAUCGGCGAGAUUCGCGGUUGGGGAAGACAUAAAGGAUAGAUUCAUGUUAGAUUUAUUGACGUUGCACGGAUUUGUGCAAGGUCGUGUGACUCAUGGAGGCUGGAGAGAUGAAAGACAGAAGAGAGAAAGGGGAAAGGGGAGGCAGUUGUGAAGAUGUAAAUGAAUUAGGAUUGCUAGGGUUAAACCGUUUGGUC
rnacentral:lncRNA from 1 species